UACGUAGGGCGCAAGCGUUGUCCGGAAUUAUUGGGCGUAAAGAGCUCGUAGGCGGCUUGUCACGUCGGGUGUGAAAGCCCGGGGCUUAACCCCCGGGUUCUCAUUCGAUACGGGGCUAGCUAGAGUGUGGUAGGGGAGAUCGAAUUCCUGGUGUAGCGGUGAAAUGCGCAGAUAUCAGGAGGAACACCGGUGGCGAAGGCGGGUCUCUGGGCCAUACUGACGC
rnacentral:rRNA from 1 species